rfam:Idiomarina woesei strain DSM 27808 genome assembly, contig: Ga0061064_101
CCCGCAACCAAUUACAAAAGGGUCCAGUGUUUUAAAAGCCCCGCAGCAGUUCGGGGCUUUUUACUAUGUGACCUUUGCUGCGGCAGUUUUACGCACCAGCGUACAACUGAGAGGGCAGUCAACAACACUGGGCGAUUACGCCCUUUUUUU